rnacentral:rRNA from 1 species
UGAGGAAUAUUGGUCAAUGGACGAGAGUCUGAACCAGCCAAGUAGCGUGCAGGAUGACGGCCCUAUGGGUUGUAAACUGCUUUUGUUUGGGAAUAAUCGACAUUACGUGUAAUGUUUUGCAUGUACCAUAUGAAUAAGGACCGGCUAAUUCCGUGCCAGCAGCCGCGGUAAUACGGAAGGUUCGGGCGUUAUCCGGAUUUAUUGGGUUUAAAGGGAGCGUAGGCCGUUUGGUAAGCGUGUUGUGAAAUGUAGGAGCUCAACUUCUAGAUUGCAGCGCGAACUGUCAGACUUGAGUGCGCACAACGUAGGCGGAAUUCAUGGUGUAGCGGUGAAAUGCUUAGAUAUCAUGAAGAACUCCGAUUGCGAAGGCAGCUUACGGGAGUGUUACUGACGCUUAAGCUCGAAGGUGCGGGUAUCGAACAGG